GAGGGGGAAAGUUUCUUUGGAGUGGGUGUCUGGAAUAUACAAAGAAUUUGGAAGAAAGCGAUGGAGCAAAUUGCUAAAGGUCUAGAGGUAGAUGUUUCAAGUUAGAGGAAAGGAAAUUGUGGAAGAAAGCCGAAAGACAUCAAUCUAGAGCAAAUCCCUACCAUCCCACCGAACAGGAGGUCUACUAUCAGGUCACUUGCUUGGCAACUCCAGUGCAGCCCUACGACACUCCACCGGAAGUUC
rnacentral:rRNA from 1 species